GGCAAGUCUCUGUAAAAUAUUAGAAGUAUCGAGAGUAUAAUCCUUCUUUAUCAAAACAGAAGAAGCCCAAUUCAAUUUCUUAUCCAGCAGCUUAUGUUCUUAUCUCAGACAUUUGAAAGUAAAUGAUUUCUUCUCUGUUAUCUCAUUGCUUUCGAUCUAAAUCCAGCGAGUGGUGGUGUUCGGUGGUCAAAUUGGUGUUCGGACAAAAUUUUGGGGGUUUUGAAUGUAAAUGUAACGAGCAGUUCAAUGGAAUUGGGGUUUUGCUGUGGGAUUUAUCUAUAUCAACUUCUUUUGAUAAUUUAUUAAUUGGGUAGUUGUAAUUUUACAUCAAUUGAUUAUUCAUGAUUUUUAAUUGAAUUUGAUUUAGAGUUUA